rnacentral:rRNA from 1 species
UACGUAGGGUGCGAGCGUUGUCCGGAAUUAUUGGGCGUAAAGGGCUCGUAGGCGGUCUGUCACGUCAGGAGUGAAAACUCGGGGCUCAACCCCGAGCCUGCUUCUGAUACGGGCAGACUGGAGGUAUGCAGGGGAGAACGGAAUUCCUGGUGUAGCGGUGAAAUGCGUAGAGAUCGGCAGGAACACCCAGGGGGAAACCAGUCGACUGGGCAUCUACUGACGCUGAGGUGCGAGAGCGUGGGGAGCGAACCGG